AUGCUAGUCAGGUAUACAGUUUUCAUACUUGAUCUCUCCUUUUGGUAAAAACAACAGCAACAAAACCGUACAAGUUUUAAACAGCCCAUGGCUGGUUUGUGAGCAAAUGGAUGGAGACAGAUCAUGAAGUGUCUGGGAAGCCAAUGGAGCCACGGAUCUGAACAGAGGAAGCUGGAACAAAGAGCAAGCUCAUGCCCUGACAUGGGUGUAAGCCUGUCCACGGGGAAUGGUGCCCAUUCUCCCACACGUGUCCUCCAGAGAGCCCGGGGACCAGGACUCCAUCUUAUUCACCAGUGAAUCUCUACCACCCAGUGCACUGUGCCUCAUAGCAAACUCAAGUAUUUGAAAGAAGGAGGGACGGUGGAAGAGGUGAUGGACAGGUGACACCAGCAAAGAGAAGUCCACCCUGUGGCCCACCCACUCUCGGGGCAGGUGGGUAUCAUGUCUGAUGAGGAAUUCUGUUCUCCUUCAACUGGAAGCCACGUGACGGUAGUGCCUGGCUUAUGAUUGCAGGCUCAUCGCUCAGCUUAACACCAGGUAUAGAAGAGGUGAUCAAUAAAUGUUGGUGGAAUG